GCCCCGGUGGUGUAGCGGCUAGCAUACAGCCCUGUCGAGGCUGUGACUCGGGUUCGAAUUUAAGGAGAGAAUCCCGACUGGGGCGCCA
rnacentral:tRNA from 1 species